rnacentral:lncRNA from 1 species
GAUUCACUGUGACAGCUGGACAUCUGGGGCGGUUCCAGACAGGGUUUGAGAUCUUGAAGCAGAUGUUGUCUGAAGAAAGGGUUGUACCUCACCUCGCAUUGGGCAAGAUCUGGGAAUGGCUGGUGGGUGUGGCCUGCCGCCAAACCGGUCAUCAGCGCCUGAAAGCCAUCCACUUACUACUGAGGAUUGUGCAAUGCUGCAGCCACAGGUAAGCUGUGGGCUCAGUCGCUGGAGAUAUCAGCUCCUAUGUGACUGUAAUUGUAAUGUCAUUCCUUUAAGUUUGUGGGUUUGUGCCCUGAUUAAGUAAUUUUUGCUUCAUUCAAAGGUCAUAAAGGUAUCUGCUGUUUCUCUCUGGAAGCUUACUUGCUCUUCCUUUCACGUGACAUCAGUCAUCCACCUGGGAUGAAUGUUGGUAGAAGAGUUUGAGUUUUUAGUGUUUUGCUCUGGCUCUCUGCUUGUUCCAGAUCCACCUUUGACCUGAGCACUCUGCACUGUUACCUCUGGUCUCACAUCUUCAUAACUUUGGGCGUUUUCUUGUCUGUAACCCGGUGAUGUUUUAAACACUAUAGACUUAUGACUGAUUUACAUAUCUAAUCAUUUAAUUGUGGAAGUCUUUCAGCUUGCUUCUUCAAGAUUGGCUUGGGUGUUUGGUUUUAAGAUGAGGGCUCAAUAUGGAACCCUGGCUGGCCUAGAACUCUGAGUCCUCCAAUCAUAGCUUCCUGAGCACUGGAAUUUCAGGUGUACCCCAGUAUCCCCAACCUGUGUUGGGUGUGUUUUGUCACUUUUGGUUUCUGUUUGUAGACAGGGCCAGGAACUUUAUAGAUCAGACUGGUCUCAAACUCAGAGACCAGCCUGUGUGCAGCCCUGGCUGUGCUGAGCAUUUAUAACUAAUUGCCUACCUUUUUCUAAUGAUUUAUAGAUAGUUUUACCCAAAGGUUACCUAUCCAUUUUUAUAUUAGCAUGUUAAUUUCUAUAUGUGCAGAAGAUCAGGGUCAUCCUAAACUACAUAUUGAAAUUAGGGGCAGACCAGGAUACAUAAAACCCUGUCUCAAAAGAGGGGGGGUGGUAGAUGAAGAGAUGCUUCAGUCUGUAAAGUGUCUACACAAGCAGAAGGACCUGAGUUCAGGGCUUCAGCAUUGGGAAAGGUGAGUAGCAACAAGGAGGUCCCUGGAACUCUUGGGCCAAUCAGCCUAAAUCUGAACUCAUCUCC